rnacentral:rRNA from 1 species
UACGAAGGGUGCAAGCGUUAAUCGGAAUUACUGGGCGUAAAGGGUGCGUAGGCGGGCAGGUAAGUCAGUGGUGAAAUCUCCGAGCUUAACUCGGAAACUGCCAUUGAUACUAUUUGUCUUGAAUAUUGUGGAGGUAAGCGGAAUAUGUCAUGUAGCGGUGAAAUGCUUAGAUAUGACAUAGAACACCAAUUGCGAAGGCAGCUUACUACACAAUGAUUGACGCUGAGGCACGAAAGCGUGGGGAUCAAACAGG